UCCGCGAGUAAAGUGGCGACCGGGUGAGUAACACGUGACUAACCUGCCCUCGAGCGGGGGAUAACCCCGGGAAACCGGGGCUAAUACCGCAUAACAUCUUCGAUAUGAAAGUAUUGAGGAUCAAAGGAGCAAUUCACUUGAGGAGGGGGUCGCGGCCGAUUAGCUAGUUGGCGGGGUAACGGCCCACCAAGGCUGAGAUCGGUACCCGGCCUGAGAGGGCGCACGGCCACACUGGAACUGAAACACGGUCCAGACUCCUACGGGAGGCAGCAGUGGGGAAUUUUGCGCAAUGGGGGGAACCCUGACGCAGCAACGCCGCGUGGAGGAUGAAGUCCCUUGGGACGUAAACUCCUUUCGACCGGGAAGAUAAUGACGGUACCGGAAGAAGAAGCACCGGCUAACUCUGUGCCAGCAGCCGCGGUAAUACAGAGGGUGCGAGCGUUGUUCGGAAUUAUUGGGCGUAAAGGGCCGCGU
rnacentral:rRNA from 1 species